rnacentral:lncRNA from 1 species
GUUAUUUUUUGGAUUUAAAAUUCUUUUUUUUCUUCAUGUCAAUUCAUCUCAAGGUCAAGAUGAUCAGUUGGAGGAUUGUCCUAUGUCGGAACACUCUCCACUGUGGAUUUUAAAAGUGCGCCUUACUAUUAGUUGCAACCUUAUAUAGACUUUUUCCAAAAUAAAAUAUGUCUAGCUGCUGCGAGUUAACGCGGCUUGAUGGUGGAAAGGCAUAGGUUCUUGAUCUAUCACUGUUCUUUCGAUUCUUGUGUGGUGCAUGUCGGCACCUCAAAUUUAUAAUAUAGUUAGUUAAUUUCUCCCGAUAAUAAGUCUGAUAAAAAAAAGAGUCUAUUUGGGUUUCUUCUGGUUGCUCAACUUCGUACAGAGGGUUGGAAAGCCCGGUCAAUGACAGAUUCCUGUUGCCGUUUCAAAUCAAGCACGAUAGGAAAUAGGUUUUUCUUGUGAUUCAUGAAAUUCAUCACAAUAAAUCUAUAUAUGAUCAAGGAUACUUCGAUUUAUGUUUUUAGAGAUACUGUGAAAAUUCUUGAGAUGAUCAUUGAUUUAUCUGUACAUAAAUAAGACUACACGCAACUGUUUCUUUGUAUCAGCGUGAAACCAGGAAUAUAAUUUACUGUUAUUAAUCAUAAAAUUUAAGCAUUUUAUUUGUUGAAAUUUCU